CCUACGGGUGGCUGCAGUGGGGAAUAUUGGACAAUGGGGGGAACCCUGAUCCAGCCAUGCCGCGUGUGUGAAGAAGGCCCUCGGGUUGUAAAGCACUUUCAGUGAGGAAGAACGCCUGGUGGUUAAUACCCAUCAGGAAAGACAUCACUCACAGAAGAAGCACCGGCUAACUCCGUGCCAGCAGCCGCGGUAAUACGGAGGGUGCGAGCGUUAAUCGGAAUUACUGGGCGUAAAGCGCGCGUAGGUGGCUUGAUAAGCCGGUUGUGAAAGCCCCGGGCUCAACCUGGGAACGGCAUCCGGAACUGUCAAGCUAGAGUGCAGGAGAGGAAGGUAGAAUUCCCUGUGUAGCGGUGAAAUGCGUAGAGAUCGGGAGGAAUACCAGUGGCGAAGGCGGCCUUCUGGACUGACACUGACACUGAGGUGCGAAAGCGUGGGUAGCAAACAGGAUUAGAUACCCCUGUAGUC
rnacentral:rRNA from 1 species